rnacentral:rRNA from 1 species
AUUGAACGCUGGCGGCAGGCCUAACACAUGCAAGUCGAGCGAGCGGCGGUCGGGUGAGUAAUGUAUGGUGACUGCCUGAUAGAGGGGGAUAACUACUGGAAACGGUGGCUCAUACCGCCUACUGUUGGAUAACCCAUAUGGGAUUAGCUAGUAGGUAAGGUAAUGGCUUACCUGGGCGACGAUCCCUAGCUGGUCUGAGAGGAUGAUCAGCCACACUGGGACUGAGACACGGCCCAGACUCCGACGGAGGCAGCAGUGGGGAAUAUUGCACAAUGGGCGCAAGCCUGAUGCAGCCAUGCCGCGUGUAUGAAGAAGGCCCUAGGGUUGUAAAUUACGUUCAGUCGGGAGGCGUUACCGACAGAAGAAGCACCGGCUAACUCCGUGCCAGCAGCCGCGGUAAUAC